AUUCAUGGUUGAUUAUUAGAAGCUGCUAUCAUAGCAACUAGCAACAGCUCCAUUUAUUGGCUGUAAUCAAGUCCUUCACUAUAUGACUAUACUUCAAAACACUCCACUCAGUAUAAUAGUCUACAUUAUAAUGACACUCAUGAAUGUUAGCAGUAUCUUAGUGACAUUAUUGUUAUUGUAAAAUAUCAAUUUAAACACAUUGCAAUCAAAUUAAUUGUAAUUCAAUGAUGCACUGGCCUAAUAACAAAAUGACAUGUUAGCUACUCAGUAUAAACUUUUAAUUCAUUCAUUUUUCUUUUCUUCAUUUUUAUAAUAUUCUUUCCCAACAACCUUGAUAUAGAAA